rnacentral:rRNA from 1 species
UACGGGGGGGGCGAGCGUUGUCCGGAAUUAUUGGGCGUAAAGAGCUCGUAGGCGGUUUGUCGCGUCUGCUGUGAAAAUCCAGGGCUUAACCCUGGACCUGCAGUGGGUACGGGCAGACUGGAGUGCGGUAGGGGAGAUCGGAAUUCCUGGUGUAGCGGUGAAAUGCGCAGAGUAUCAGGAGGAACACCGGUGGCGAAGGCGGAUCUCUGGGCCGUAACUGACGCUGAGGAGCGAAAGCAUGGGGAGCGAACAGG